GGAGUUUUUACAGGUUUCUUGGCAGGGUGGGGAGUGGCCGUAUGGCCUCCUUUCUUUGAUUCAGUCUUCUCAGUCGAAGCUAACUUUGCCUUCUUAGAAACAGGGGUCUUGUUGGCAGACUCAUUUGGCCUCUUCUUGGCCGAUUCAACCUUCUUCGGUGUCUCCUCGUCACUUCCGGUACCAUCAUCUUCAUCGUCAGAGUCACUGUCAGCUCCGAGCAUUUCCUCAUCAGACUCAUCAUCAGAAUCCUCAUCAGAGUCAGAGUCGUCAUCAUCUUCAGAGUCAUCCCCAUCCUCCUUGUUAGGCUCAAGAGACUUAACAUCUGCCUUCUUUGAAGAUUCAGGUUUCUGACUCAAAAGAUUUCCAGCAAUAGACUUCUCCUUCUGGC
rnacentral:misc_RNA from 1 species